rnacentral:rRNA from 1 species
UGAUCUAGCCAUGCCGCGUGAGUGAUGAAGGCCUUAGGGUCGUAAAGCUCUUUCGCCAGGGAUGAUAAUGACAGUACCUGGUAAAGAAACCCCGGCUAACUCCGUGCCAGCAGCCGCGGUAAUACGGAGGGGGUUAGCGUUGUUCGGAAUUACUGGGCGUAAAGCGCGCGUAGGCGGAUCGGAAAGUUGGGGGUGAAAUCCCGGGGCUCAACCCCGGAACUGCCUCCAAAACUCCUGGUCUUGAGUUCGAGAGAGGUGAGUGGAAUUCCGAGUGUAGAGGUGAAAUUCGUAUAUAUUCGGAGGAACACCAGUGGCGAAGGCGGCUCACUGGCUCGAUACUGACGCUGAGGUGCGAAAGUGUGGGGAGCAAACAGGAUUAAAUACCCUGGUAGUCCACACCGUAAACGAUGAAUGCCAGUCGUCGGGUAGCAUGCUAUUCGGUGACACACCUAACGGAUUAAGCAUUCCGCCUGGGGAGUACGGUCGCAAGAUUAAAACUCAAAGGAAAUUGACGG